GAUGAACGCUGGCGGCGUGCCUAAUACAUGCAAGUCGAGCGAACAGAUGAGGAGCUUGCUCCUCUGACGUUAGCGGCGGACGGGUGAGUAACACGUGGAUAACCUACCUAUAAGACUGGGAUAACUUCGGGAAACCGGAGCUAAUACCGGAUAAUAUAUUGAACCGCAUGGUUCAAUAGUGAAAGACGGUUUUGCUGUCACUUAUAGAUGGAUCCGCGCCGCAUUAGCUAGUUGGUAAGGUAACGGCUUACCAAGGCAACGAUGCGUAGCCGACCUGAGAGCGUGAUCCGCCACACUGGAACUGAGGCACGGUCCAGACUCCUACGGGAGGCAGCAGUAGGGAAUCUUCCGCAAUGGGCGAAAGCUUGACGGAGCAACGCCGCGUGAGUGAUGAAGGUCUUCGGAUCGUAAAACUCUGUUAUUAGGGAAGAACAAAUGUGUAAGUAACUAUGCACGUCUUGACGGUACCUAAUCAGAAAGCCACGGCUAACUACGUG
rnacentral:rRNA from 1 species